rnacentral:rRNA from 1 species
UACGUAGGGCGCAAGCGUUAUCCGGAAUUACUGGGCGUAAAGCGCACGUAGGCGGUCUUUUAAGUCGGGGGUGAAAUCCUGGAGCUCAACUCCAGAACUGCCUCGAUACUGGAAGACUCGAGUCCGGGAGAGGGUGAGUGGAACUGCGAGUGUAGAGGUGAAAUUCGUAGAUAUUCGCAAGAACACCAGUGGCGAAGGCGGCUCACUGGCCCGGUACUGACGCUGAGGUGCGAAAGCGUGGGGAGCAAACAGG